rnacentral:tRNA from 3 species
GCCCGCAUAGCUCAGGGGUAGAGCAACCGCCUUGUAAGCGGUAGGUCGUCAGUUCGAAUCCGACUGUGGGCACCA